rnacentral:rRNA from 1 species
CGCUAUCACUCCUACGGGGAGGCAGCAGUAGGGAAUCUUCCACAAUGGGCGCAAGCCUGAUGGAGCAACACCGCGUGAGUGAAGAAGGGUUUCGGCUCGUAAAGCUCUGUUGUUUAAAGAAGAACACGUAUGAGAGUAACUGUUCAUACGUUGACGGUAUUUAACCAGAAAGUCACGGCUAACUACGUGCCAGCAGCCGCGGUAAUACGUAGGUGGCAAGCGUUAUCCGGAUUUAUUGGGCGUAAGAGAGUGCAGGCGGUUUUCUAAGUCUGAUGUGAAAGCCUUCGGCUUAACCGGAGAAGUGCAUCGGAAACUGGAUAACUUGAGUGCAGAAGAGGGUAGUGGAACUCCAUGUGUAGCGGUGGAAUGCGUAGAUAUAUGGAAGAACACCAGUGGCGAAGGCGGCUACCUGGUCUGCAACUGACGCUGAGACUCGAAAGCAUGGGUAGCGAACAGGAUUAGAUACCCUGGUAG